UACUCCUACGGGAGGCAGCAGUAGGGAAUCUUCCGCAAUGGACGAAAGUCUGACGGAGCAACGCCGCGUGAGUGAUGAAGGUUUUCGGAUCGUAAAGCUCUGUUGUUAGGGAAGAACAAGUGCGAGAGUAACUGCUCGCACCUUGACGGUACCUAACCAGAAAGCCACGGCUAACUACGUGCCAGCAGCCGCGGUAAUACGUAGGUGGCAAGCGUUGUCCGGAAUUAUUGGGCGUAAAGGGCUCGCAGGCGGUUUCUUAAGUCUGAUGUGAAAGCCCCCGGCUCAACCGGGGAGGGUCAUUGGAAACUGGGAAACUUGAGUGCAGAAGAGGAGAGUGGAAUUCCACGUGUAGCGGUGAAAUGCGUAGAGAUGUGGAGGAACACCAGUGGCGAAGGCGACUCUCUGGUCUGUAACUGACGCUGAGGAGCGAAACGCGUGGGGAGCGAACAGGAUAGAUACCCUGGUAGUCCAA
rnacentral:rRNA from 1 species